rnacentral:tRNA from 2 species
GGUUCGGUAGUUCAGCUGGUUAGAAUGCCGCCCUGUCACGGCGGAGGUCGCGGGUUCGAGUCCCGUCCGGACCGCAA